GAGUUCGCGGGAGAGUAAGUUAUUGCCAGGGUUUUUAUUUUAUACUUUAAACCUUGAAUUUAUUUUUUAAAUGUUUAUAUUAUUUGAAUAAAACAUUCAAAUAAUAUAAAAAAUAAUAUAUAUGUUGACGUGGAUUAAACAAAGAUAUAUAUUAUUCUAUGUUGUAUGAACAAAUUGGCAAAAUAGAGAUGGAAGAUAAAAAUAUGGUCAAAGUAAUAAGAGUCUAUGGUGAAUGCC
rnacentral:misc_RNA from 1 species